rnacentral:lncRNA from 1 species
UUCCUUAAAAAUGCUAUAUAUAUAUAUAUAUAUAUAUAUAUAGAGAGAGAGAGAGAGAGAGAGAGCUAGGCUGGUAUACUAUCGAUAGUACGGAGGCCUCCGUACUAUCAAGUUGUUUUUAAUAAUGUAGCUUCCAAAUCAACGAUCGGCUCCGUUAGACUUAAUCUACGCUAUUCAAAGUAUUUGAAAACUAAAUUUUAUAAUUUUUCGACACCGUUUACCAAUCAAACGAGUUGUCUAAAAAUAAAUUGCUGAAAAUUAAAAUGAUGAUAAAAGACUUGAAUUUAAGAUCAAAGGUACUUAUCUUACUCUAAAAAGUGAAAAGAAUUUUUUAUAAAAUUUUAUUAGAUUUGGAUUGUUUUACACUGUUAAAUUCACAAACGCAUCACAUCGACCAUUAAAAUUGUCAAUUUUGAGACUUUUCGAUCAUUAGUCAAAUACUGUUGAAAAAUUAUGAAAUUUAGUUUUCAAAUACCUUUAAUAGUGUAGGUCAAGUCUAGCGGAGCUGAUCGUCGAUUUGGAAGCCGCAUCAUUAAAAACAACUUGAUAACACGGAGGCUUCCGUACUUCCGAUAGUAUAUAUAUA